AAUAUUGGACAAUGGGGGCAACCCUGACCCCGCCAUGCAUCGUGUGUUAAGUAUGUCUUCGGUUUGUAAAGCACGUUUAGUUGCGAGGAAGGUCUUUCGGCAAAUCCCCUGACGUUUUCACGUAACCAACAGAAUAGGCAUUGACUAACUCUCUGCCAGCAGCCGCGGUAAUACAGAGGGUGCAAGCGUUAAUCGGAAUUACUGGGCGUAAAGCGCGCGUAGGUGGUUCAGUAAGAUGGGUGUGAAAUCCCCGGGCUUAACCUGGGAACUGCUUUCAUAACUGCUGAGCUAGAGUACGGUAGAGGGUAGUGGAAUUUCCUGUGUAGCGGUGAAAUGCGUAGAUAUAGGAAGGAACACCAGUGGCGAAGGCGACUACCUGGACUGAUACUGACACUGAGGUGCGAAAGCGUGGGGAGCAAAC
rnacentral:rRNA from 1 species